rnacentral:rRNA from 1 species
AAACUUUCAACAACGGAUCUCUUGGUUCUGGCAACGAUGAAGAACGCAGCGAAAUGCGAUAAUUAAUGUGAAUUGCAGAAUUCAGUGAAUCAUCGAAUCUUUAACGCACAUGCGCCUCCUGGUAUUCCGGAAGGCACGCCUGUCGAGGCAUU